UGGUGGAGUGAUUUGUCUGGUUAAUUCCGUUAACGAACGAGACCUCGACCUACUAAAUAGUUAACUAAAUUCUUCGGGAUUUAGAUCGACUUCUUAGAGGGACUUUGGGUGAGUAGCCCAAGGAAGUUCGAGGCAAUAACA
rnacentral:rRNA from 1 species